UUAGAUAUAAACUGGCCCUUAUCCUACCAGAGUACUACGAACAUUAAGUUUAAAACUCAAAGAGCUUGGCGGUGCUUUAGACUCCUCAGGGGAACCUGUCUCGUAAUCGACAGUCCACGAACCAACCUCACCCUUUCUUGCACCCAGUAUGUAUACCGUCGUCGUCAGGUAACUUUUAAAAAUAUAGAAGUUAGCAACCAAAUCCAUCAAUUUUCACGUCAGAUCAAGGUGCAGCCUAUGAAAAGGAGCAGAUGGGUUACAAUUAAGAUUCAUAAUUACGGAUUUAAUUCCUAACAGAUUUCUGAAGGCGGACUUGAAAGUAAAGCCCAGUAGCUAAAUGCCUUGAAUCCAGCUCUGAAGCG
rnacentral:rRNA from 1 species